rnacentral:tRNA from 1 species
UGCCAUGACCAAGAUUCGAACCUGGGUUAUUGCGGCCACAACGCAAUGUCCUAACCACUAGGCGUUCACGGC